rnacentral:rRNA from 1 species
CCACCGCGGUUAGACGAGAGGCCCCAGUUGAUAUUACAACGGCGUAAAGGGUGGUUAAGGACAAAAAAAAUAAAGCCAAAUGGCCCUUCGGCCGUCAUACGCUUCUAGGUGUCCGAAGCCCUAAUACGAAAGUAGCUUUAAUAGACUACCUGAACCCACGAAAGCUGAGAAACAAACUGGGAUUAGAUACCCCACUAUGCUCAGCCAUAAACUUAGACAUCCAACUACAAUUAGAUGUCCGCCAGGGUACUACGAGCAUUAGCUUAAAACCCAAAGGACCUGACGGUGUCUCAGACCCCCCUAGAGGAGCCUGUUCUAGAACCGAUAAUCCCCGUUUAACCUCACCACUUCUAGCCACCCCAGCCUAUAUACCGCCGUCGUCAGCUUACCCUGUGAAGGAAAUAAAAGUAAGCAAAAUGGGCACAACCCAAAACGUCAGGUCGAGGUGUAGCGCAUGAAAUGGAAAGAAAUGGGCUACAUUUUCUGACACAGAAUAUUACGAACAUGUACCAUGAAAUAGUACCUGAAGGAGGAUUUAGUAGUAAAAGGGAAGUAGAGUGUCCCUUUGAACCCGGCUCUGAGACGCGUACACACCGCCCGUCACUCUCCCCUGUCAAAACGCACUAAAAAUACUUAAUACAAAAGCACCGACAAGGGGAGGCAAGUCGUAACACG